AUCACAAGUAAACGCUGCUUCAGGUGCCAUCAGUUUGAUCCAGCUACAAGAAGGGAUGAAGAAGUUGGACGGCGACAAUAAGGAAGAGGACAUGUUGAAAACCAUUGAAGGGAAAAAGGAUGCAAUGGUUAAUUCUCUAUGGAAAAUCAAUGUGGUUGACAUUGAGUCGACUCUUUCACAUGUCUGCCAGGCGGUUCUUAAGGACAGCAGUGUUUCGAAGGAUGUGCUGAAGUUGCGAGCCAGAGCGCUGAAGAAGUUGGGAACGAUAUUCCAGGGUGCCAAAGCUCUUUACCGGAGAGAGAACAGUCUUCGUGUUGAGACAGAUCCCGAUAAAAGACCUUCGUCGUCAAAGACAGCAUCGUAAAGCCGACAG
rnacentral:misc_RNA from 1 species